GGCGCUCUGGCCGAGUGGUUAAGGCGUUUGACUCGAACUAUCUCGAUAUCAAAUCCAUUCGUGGGCGUGUGUUCGAAUCACACGGGCGUCG
rfam:Aureobasidium pullulans var. pullulans EXF-150 unplaced genomic scaffold scaffold_6, whole genome shotgun sequence.